AUUGAACGCUGGCGGCAUGCCUUACACAUGCAAGUCGAACGGCAGCACGGGAGCAAUCCUGGUGGCGAGCGGCGAACGGGUGAGUAAAGUAUCGGAACGUGCCCAGUCGUGGGGGAUAACGUAGCGAAAGUUACGCUAAUACCGCAUACGAUCUAUGGAUGAAAGCGGGGGAUCGCAAGACCUCGCGCGAUUGGAGCGGCCGAUAUCAGAUUAGGUAGUUGGUGGGGUAAAGGCCCAGCAAGUCGACGAUCUGUAGCUGGUCUGAGAGGACGACCGGCCACAAUGGGACUGAGACACGGCCCAGACUCCUACGGGAGGCAGCAGUGGGGAAUUUUCGACAAUGGGCGAAAGCCUGAUCCAGCCAUGCCGCGUGCAGGAUGAAGGCCUUCGGGUUGUAAACUGCUUUUGUACGGAACGAAAAGGACUGCCCUAAUACGGUGGUCCCAUGACGGUACCGUAAGAAUAAGCACCGGCUAACUACGUGCCAGCCGCCGCGGUAAGAC
rnacentral:rRNA from 1 species